UUGAACCAUUUUAGAGUAAAAUAUGGAGUAAUACAUUGGAGAUGCUUUUAAUUUCAGUAAGUUCCAUUGUUUAAAUAUUAUAAUCAAAUCUUGAAAUGUUGAAUGAUAUAUCAAGGGUGUGAAUAUAUAGUCUUUUUUUUUUUUUUUUUUUGACAGCCGUGAAUAUAUAGUCUGUUUGGAGUAAAUAUUUGGAGAAACAAUUUUACUCAAAGUUCGGCUGAAAUGUUACCAAUCAGGUUAAUUAUUAUUAUUUAAUUUUUACUCAGUGUACUAUUGAUAAAGUGGAAAAAACAGUCUAAGGUUUCGAAUGGUAUGUAGAUCAAACCUAAAACGCAUAUCAAGCAGAACAAAUGCAGAAUAAAUAUAGAUCUAAUUGGUUAAGCUAAUUUAUCGAAUUAGUGUAUUUAACCAAAUGUUAAAAAUAAUUUUGUAAAUUAAAUAUCUAAAACAAAAAUACAAACUAUUAUCAAUGAUUUUUUUAUUAAUUUAAUAAAUACAAAGAAAGUUUUAAAAUCAUAUAAAAAGUAAACACAAUCACACCAAAAAAUCGUAAAAUAAAAAAAAUAUCAUUCUAAUAAAUAUAUUAUAACUUAAAAAUUAUAUAAAAUUUAUUAAAAUGACAAAGAGUAUUCUUUUUCCCUUUAAUUAUUUUAUAGUCCAAAUUAAAAUUUAAUUAAGAUCCAAAGACAUUAAUUAGGACUCGACAUAAAAUCCUUAACCUGAAUUUUAAACCAAACCCGAACCGAAAAACUGACUCGUACCAAGUCCAAAAUGUAAAACAGUAUCUGAAUGGGUUUUGUAUAGGCUUGGGCAAAAAAAAAAAAGAAACUGAAAAAUCAACUGGAACCGAACCGAAAUACCCAAAACCGGAACCUGACCAAAACCCUCAAAUACCCGAACGGUUUCUAUAUUUCUAUAUUCGAAAUAACCGAACCAAACCGGAACCGAACCGAGAAGCGAACGGGUACCCGAAUAUAUAACAAUAUUAAUUAUAUAUACAUAUAAUAUAACUACAUAUAUAUUUUUAAUAUAAAGAUCUGUUAAAAGUAUCCGAAAAUAAUUGAGAUAACUAAAUUAUUAUAAUGUAUCUGAACUACCCGAAAUUAUCUGAAACUAUCUAGAUAGUUUUAUCUGAAAUAUCCAAAGUAAUCCGAAAUAUCUGAAAUUCUUACCCGAAAGUGACUGUAAAAUAAUAAUUAAAGUAAAAUAUAUGCAAGUUAAAUAUAUAUUGUCAUAUCAAAUAAUAUGCAUGAAUUCAUCAAACUAUUUUAUAUAAAAAUAUAAAAAUUUCA
rnacentral:lncRNA from 1 species